rnacentral:rRNA from 1 species
UGGGGAAUAUUGCGCAAUGGGCGAAAGCCUGACGCAGCGACGCCGCGUGUGGGAUGAAGGUCUUCGGAUUGUAAACCACUGUCGCGAGGGACGAAGCUCUGACGGUACCUCGAAAGGAAGCACCGGCUAACUCUGUGCCAGCAGCCGCGGUAAUACAGAGGGUGCGAGCGUUGUCCGGAAUCACUGGGCGUAAAGGGCGCGUAGGCGGCCCGGUAAGUAGGGGGUGAAAUCUCAUGGCUCAACUGUGAGGCUGCCUUCUAGACUGCCAGGCUUGAGCACAGUAGAGGCGAGUGGAAUUCCCGGUGUAGCGGUGGAAUGCGUAGAGAUCGGGAAGAACAUCGGUGGCGAAGGCGGCUCGCUGGGCUGUUGCUGACGCUGAGGCGCGAAAGCGUGGGGAGCAAACAGGAUUAGAUACCCCAGUAGUCCCUGAGCGGGCUGGCAAGGCGCAU